GCUGUUAUAGCUCAGUCGGUAGAGCGCAUCCUUGGUAAGGAUGAGGUCACCAGUUCGAAUCUGGUUAACAGCUCCA
rnacentral:tRNA from 1 species